GGACAAAAAGGAAUAACACAUAGAUUCUCAUGUCCCUAUACACCUCAACAAAAUGGGAUUGUUGAGAGGAAACAUAGACACCUGCUUGAGACCAGCAGAUGUUUUUUUACUCAAUCCGGAAUUCCAAAAAAUAUGUGGCCAGAGGUCAUCUCUGCAGCAUGUUUUCUGAUAAAUAGGUUACCUAGUUCUGUUUUAGGGUUCAUAUCUCCCUUUGAGAUGUUAACCAAAAAUAAACCAGAUUAUAAAAUACUGAAAUUAUUUGGUUGUUCAUGUUAUCCCUUAAUAAAUAAAGGAUUAAGGAAUAAAUUUGAACCUACUGCCUAUAAAUGUGUCUUUAUAGGGUAUUCAAACAAACACAAAGGAUAUAUGUGUUUAAAGUUAGAAGAUAAUAAAGUCAUUAUAUCUCGAAAUGUCAAAUUUAAUGAAAAUGAGUAUCCUUUUUUAACUAAAACAGAUACUAAAACAGUAAAGAAGCCUGAAAAGCAAAUGAUAAUACUUCCAAGACUAGCUACUACAAUAAAUUUUGGCUUUCCUAUAAAUACAGGAAACUCAAACAGUGAGUUAAGGGUAGAACCAAAUUUGUCAAGUCAUGUAAGGAGAGUCACUCACAACAGAAUAACUCUACAAAUGACUCAAUGGAUAUAAUCUCAGAGUCAACUGAGAUAAGUAGCUCAGUACCCCAGACCAUGAGAGUUGAGUCUGAUAUGCAAUCUAACACUAGAAGUGAGACAAGACAACAAAGAGAUAUUUCUGAGAAUCAAACAAACACAGUUUGUAACUCAAUAUCACGAGAUAUAAGUAGUAGAUCUGAAGAACCAAUCAACAUAGGAGUUAGAUAUCCGACUAGAGAUAGAAAAGCACCAAAGUUUUUAGAAAACUAUGAGUGUAAUUCUUGCUCUGGCGAAGAGAUAGAACCAUCCACCUUCAGUGAGGCAAGUAAAGAACCUAAGUGGAAGGAGGCAAUGCAAGAGGAACUAGAUGCAUUGAAAGUUAACAAAACAUGGACUUUAGUACCAAAAAAUUCGUCAAUGAAUAUAGUAGGUUGUAAGUGGGUCUAUAAAAUUAAAAAGAACUCAGAUGAUUCAAUAGAANNNNNNNNNNNNNNNNNNNNNNNNNNNNNNNNNNNNNNNNNNNNNNNNNNNNNNNNNNNNNNNNNNNNNNNNNNNNNNNNNNNNNNNNNNNNNNNNNNNNUACAGUCCAGUAAUUAGGAUGAACACAGUAAGAUCAAUCAUUUCAAUUGCUGUGACAUAUAACUGGCAGCUAAGACAACUGGAUAUCAAAAAUGCCUUCCUAAAUGGCUUUCUAAACGAAACAGUAUACAUGAGACAACCAACUGGGUUUCAUAAUAAGAGUUAUCCAGAUCAUGUGUGUCUAUUACAUAAGGCUCUAUAUGGCUUAAAACAAGCACCCAGAGCUUGGUACUCAAGACUUCAAAAUUUUCUAGUUGAAAACGAAUUCAAAAAUAGUCUUACAGAUUCUUCAUUGUUCCUCAAAGUGAACAAUGGACAUAGAAUCUACAUACUAGUCUAUGUAGAUGAUAUUAUAAUUACUGGGGAUUCUAGUGAGGAAGUAAAUAGGUGCAUAGAAUUAAUAUGUAAACAAUUUUCAUGUAGAGACCUAGGGCUUCUUAACUAUUUUUUAGGAAUGGAAUGUAUAAGACAAGGGAAAACCAUAAUUCUAAGUCAAGAAAAAUAUGUGUCUGAUAUAUUGAAAAAAUUCAAUAUGAUGGAAUGCACACCAUGUAGGAUACCAAUGGUUCAAAAUCCAAGACUAAAUAAAAAUUCAGGGACUCCUAUAGAAAACAAUACAAUAUACAGAAACAUUGUAGGGUCCUUACAAUAUCUAACUAUGACUAGACCUGAUAUUGUCUUUUGUGUGAAUCAUCUUAGUCAGUUUCUACAAACACCAACUGAUGUACAUCUUAGUUUUGCUAAGAGGAUGCUAAGAUAUAUCAAGGGAUCUUCUAACCUAGGACUGAGAUUUACACCUUCAGUCAAACCAGUAAAUUCUUUGAUAGCCUACUGUGAUUCAGACUGGGCAAAUGAUACUGAUGAUAGGAGAUCAGUUUCUGGAUUCAGCAUCUGGUUUGCUGGAAAUUUGGUAGCCUGGGCAUCAAAGAAACAAGCAGUGGUAUCAAAAUCGAGUUGUGAGGCUGAAUACAGGGCACUAUCUGGGAUAACUUCAGAAGUUAAGUGGUUCUGUAAUUUGUUUAGGGAACUGGAGAUUAGGUUUGAGACAGCUCCACAAAUAUUAUGUGAUAAUAAAUCAGCAAUUUUUCUCACUAAAAAUCCAUCAUCAAACCUGAAAACUAGACAUAUAGAUAUCUCACACCAUUUUAUUAGAGAGCUGGUGAUGAAAGGGGCAAUAAAAGUGGAUUAUAUUGCUGCUAGUCAACAACUAGCAGAUGGUUUCACUAAAGUACUGGGAACAGGGCAAUUUAUGGUUCAUAGGGAUAGACAUAAACUAGUACCAACCAGUCCUGAUCCUAGAAUCAUAAUGAAGGACAAGAAUAGGCUAACAAAAUCGCAAGACAUAAGUAAACCAAAGCUAAUUAAGGAGGCUUAGGAGAAUGACUAUAUAAGGGAGACUAUAAUACUGGAUAUUAGUUUAGAUAUAUAAUAAUAAUAAUAAUAAUGAAAAUACUGAGGUGUUGUAUUUCUGAUUUCUGUUCUUAUAGUAAUACUUGUAUUCAUAUUAGGAAAUGUUAGAUAAAUAUGAUGUUGAAAAUUGCAGGGUGAUAAUCUGAAAUAUAUUCUAAAACUAUUUCUAGUUUUGGUUUGAUACAUAAUUUUGUCUGUUUGUUAAGGAAUGGUCUAUAUUUUUCUGUUUUUGGUUUGUGGGAAUGGCUACUGUGGAUGUAUGUUUGUGUGGUUGCAGGUCAUGCUAAGAUAGGUCAUGCCCAAAUAACUGGAAAUUUAAUCUGGAGCAGAAAAUGUGGAAUCUAGAGCAGCAGGAGCUUUGAGAAUGAGCAGCGAUUUUUUUUGUUUUGUUCUUUCUUUCAGGGUCUUAAUUGGUAUAACAGGAGGGUUUUCCCAGUAAAAAUGAAAGAAAGAGGAGCAAAAAUAAGAAUCCCAGCUGGGUUUUUCGCCCUACCUGUUAGCUCAAUUAAUUCAUAGCUGAGUUAGUUCACAAGACUACUAAGGAGGUGGACAGACAAGCUGAUGAUCAUACUCAUGUUCAAAUUCACAACUCAGGAUUGCAUUCUGGAGUUGUCAAUUUGCGGGGGAAUGUAAAGAGUUAAAAAUACUAUAAGGGGUUUUGUAUAAAUGUACCCAUAAUAUUAAGUAUAAGUAUAGGCUUUGUGUAAUGAUUAGUUAAGUUGAAUGUUAUAAUUCUUGAGUGUCAAUUAAAGAGUUUACUCUUUCUUCUUCUUGUUUUGACCUAACGACUUCAUUCUCCCCCUUUCUUCUAUCUUCUUCUUCUAUCAAUUUCUUGUUGAUGAUUCAGUGAAUGGAAACCUCUCCAGAUUUCUACAUGGUAUCUAGAGCUUUGUGAUUCGAUUGGGGCAUCUGGGCGUUAGGGCACGGCGAGCGCGGAAUCUUCUCAGCGUGAUUUCUUCUCGGCGUGAAUUGGAGCGGUUCCUGUUCUGUUCUUUUCUUUUCUUCCCGGCUACAGCGCGUGGUCUUUCUCUUCUCUUCUCGGCUGGCGUGGUCUUUCUUCUCGGCUGGCGUGGUCUUUCUUCUCGGCUGGCGUGGUCUUUCUCUUCUCUUCUCGGCGGCGUGAAUUUCUGGGUCUUUUCUUCUCGGCUGGCGUGGUCUUUCUUCGGCUACAGCGUGGUUCUUCUCGCCGAUUGAUUGCAAUCUGCGAUUGCAACUCUGGUUUGAAUUUUUUAUUUUUUAUUUAUUUCAUUUUUCUGUUAUCUGCAAUUGCAAGUUAUUGAACCAUUGAUUUCCAAAUUUUUUAAUUAGAUUCUGUUUGUGUUUGGAUUGAUCUGUAAGUCUGAAUUUGUUUGUGUUUGAUUUGCGUUAGAUUACGUGUUACAUUUGAUUUCAAUUUUUCAGAUUUUGUGUUCAUUGAUUUCAAUUUUUUUUUUAGAACCCAAAACGGUUGCUUGUGUCAUUGAUCCCUGGCAUUUUAUCGAUUUCUUCUAUUUCUCAUCUCGUUUUCGCCUCGUUGUUUCGUUGCUUGUUCCCCUAUAGUUUUAUUUGAUUUCGUUGGAAACUCCCUAUCAGUCUGCUAGUUUCUUUAAUCCUACUCGGUCGUUCUUUUCCAAUAGUUCAUUUGAGUGCGAUUAAAAUCUGUUUUGGGUUUACAGAUUACCUGUUAGUUUUGUUUGAGUUUACAAUAUUUUUUUUUUUUUAAUUUUCUCAUUUGAUUUAAUCUGUUUACAGAUUUGUUUUGCAUUUGAUUUCUGCGUUUUUAUCUGUUAGUAUUUUACUGAUAUUUUUUUUGCUGACAUCGAUUUGGUAUUUUCUUCUUCUUUAUUUGCCUGUUAGUAUUUGGUAUUUGGUAUUUUACUGUUAGUAUUCUUCUUCUUCUUAAAUUUUAGUUUUUUUUUUUUUUAUUUUUUUUUUUCUUUCUUUAAAUUUUGUCAUAGAUCUGUCGAUCUGUCAUCGAUCUGACAUUUUCUGUUUUUGGUUUAUGUUUUUUGUUGUUGUUGUUUGGUAAUUGAUUUCAUUGAUUUCAUCAAAUUUGUUGUUGUUUUUAGUUGUUUGUUUUUGCUGGUUAUUAAAUUUAAUUCUGAAUAAUUGCAUGCACAUAACUACAUUUUGUUUGCUUGUGUUGCAUACUAAUUAUAAAUUGUUUUUUUUUUGUUUUGUUGUUUUUGUUGUUUGGUAAUUGAUUUCAUUGAUUUCAUCAAAUUUGUUGUUGUUUUUAGUUGUUUGUUUUUGCUGGUUAUUAAAUUUAAUACUGAAUAAUUGCAUGCUAAAUCACAUAUGAAUUUAUCAGAUUGCAUGCUAAUAAAAAUAAUAAUAAUAAAUAAAUAAAAACAAAUAUCUGAUUGUGUAGUUUCUACCCACUUGAAAGUAGAUCAUAACUACAUUUUCUACUCAAUCGAUCGAUUGUGUAGUUUAUAGUUUGCUUGUAGUUGUAAAUUACAAUUGCCCAAGUGGUUAAUUGUUAUUUUGUUUGUGACGCAAGGAGCUGGUUUUUUUUUCUGGAUCUGCGAAUCAGCUUCUGUAAUCAUUGUUUUCUGUUGAGUGGCGAUUUCCAUCUUGAGCUAUGGCAGGAAUUGGAUCAAGUACAUCUGGUGCUGGAAGUGCAGCUGUGACAGCAAGGAUCGAAGUUCCUCAAAUGAUGUAUAGUAUUGCGUCACUCUGUCCCACACCUCUUUCAGAAGGGAAUUAUCUAGUAUGGAAAAAUCAAUUUGAAGGUGCAUUACAAAUACAUAAUUUGUUAGAUUUUAUUUCUGGAAAACUUGGGACUCCGGCUCUAAGAUUAAGUGAUGGCUCUGAAAAUCCGGCAUAUGCGUCUCACAAGAGGAACGAUGGCAUAGUGCUCAGUUGGAUUAAAGCCACGGUAUGUAAGGAAAUUCAGCCUCUACUUUUACCUUGUGUUACUGCAUAUGAGGCAUGGCAUAUUUUAGAAACAGAUAUUUCGCCUAUUGAUAAAAAUCAAAUUCAAACUCUUCGUGAUGAGUUGAAUUCACUAAGGAAGACAACAGAUAUUUCAAUGAAAGAAUAUAUUUUCAAGAUUAAGAGUUUGAAACACUCUCUAGCAGCAGCAGGAUAUUCAAUGUCUGAUGAAAGAGUGUCAGAGUAUGUUCUCAGAGGUCUUGGACCUGAAUUCCGUAUGUUUAGGACAUCUCUGAAUUUUCAGAAGGAUAUUACUUUUACAGAACUUGCAGAUGCUCUUAUUAAAGAAGAAAUUUUGAUGAAACAACUGGAUCAACCAACAACUGAAGGGGAUUAUCAGGUGCAUUAUUCCAAUUAUAAUAGGAAUAAUUUCAAUAGAAAUGCUAAAUUUUAUCCAGGGAAAGGCAAGAAUGGUGGUUCUUAUUAUAAACCAUCAUACAAAAAUCAAGGAACAAAGGUCAUAACUGUUCCUCCUCAAAUUGCUCGGAAUAAUUUGCCUCCCAUUCUGAAUCUACCAUCUUCACAGGACAACACAUCUACGUGUCAGAUUUGUGAGAAAAAAGGACAUCUGGCUAGAAAUUGCCCAGAUAGAGGUAAUUUUGCUGCCUAUGCCAUGGAGGAUGAUUAUGAUACUCAGAUAACUGGAAAUGAAGAAGAAGCAGCAGCAUAUUCUGUAACAGUCCAAGAUCUGGAUUGGUGUCUUGACUCAGGAGCUACUAAUCACAUGGUAGCUGAUGAAGCCUUGCUCCAUGACUGCCAGACCUAUACAGGUAUUGGGUGUGUUGUGAUUGGAUCUGGAGAUAGAUUAGUAAUUUCUAAAAUAGGAAAGUUAGACUUUGAAGUGCAUUCAAAGGUUUAUACACUUAAUAGAGUUUUAUGUGUGCCUAAGAUUAAGAAAAAUCUAAUUUCUGUGACUAAACUAUGUAGUGAUUUGAACUGUUAUAUACAGAUUUCACAGAAGGAAUUUUCAGUGAAGAGCCUGAAGAUGCAUCAGACGCUUUUUUCUGGAAUUAAUAAAAGAGGGCUAUACUAUUUCAGCCCGGACAUCAACUGUAAUUUGGGUAUCAAGAUCUCUUCAGAUACAUGGCACAAGAGACUAGGACAUCCUUCUCUCAAAAUCAUGAAUAAAAUAGGACAUGUAUUAGGAUUAAACAAUUCAGAUUUAAAAUCUUUAGAAUUUUGUAAUAACUGUCCUAUGGCAAAAAUGUCGAAAUUACCUUUUUCUUGUAAUGAAAUAAAAACUUCUUUUCCAUUGGAAAUAAUACAUAUAGAUCUAUGGGGUCCAGCCCCAAUUGUUUCAAUGAAAAAUUAUAAAUUUUUUGCAACAAUUGUAGAUAAUAAAACAAGGUAUACAUGGAUUAUACUAUUAAGGGCUAAAAGUGAUUUUACUGAUCAGUUUAUUCUAUUUCAGAAAAAUAUAGAAAACCAGUUAGGGCGAAAAAUUAAGAAAAUUUAUUCAGAUGAGGGUGGUGAAUUUCUUAGUACCAAGCUGAAAACUUGGCUAGGACAAAAAGGAAUAACACAUAGAUUCUCAUGUCCCUAUACACCUCAACAAAAUGGGAUCGUUGAGAGGAAACAUAGACACCUGCUUGAGACCAGCAGAUGUUUUUUUACUCAAUCAGGAAUUCCAAAAAAAUAUGUGGCCAGAGGUCAUCUCUGCAGCAUGUUUUCUGAUAAAUAGGUUACCUAGUUCUGUUUUAGGGUUCAUAUCUCCCUUUGAGAUGUUAACCAAAAAUAAACCAGAUUAUAAAAUACUGAAAUUAUUUGGUUGUUCAUGUUAUCCCUUAAUAAGUAAAGGAUUAAGGAAUAAAUUUGAACCUACUGCCUAUAAAUGUGUCUUUAUAGGGUAUUCAAACAAACACAAAGGAUAUAUGUGUUUAAAGUUAGAAGAUAAUAAAGUCAUUAUAUCUCGAAAUGUCAAAUUUAAUGAAAAUGAGUAUCCUUUUUUAACUAAAACAGAUACUAAAACAGUAAAGAAGCCUGAAAAGCAAAUGAUAAUACUUCCAAGACUAGCUACUACAAUAAAUUUUGGCUUUCCUAUAAAUACAGGAAACUCAAACAGUGAGUUAAGGGUAGAACCAGAGUCAAGUCCUGUAAGGAGAGUUACUCACUCACAACAGAACAACUCUAAAAAUGACUCAAUGGAUAUAAUCUCAGAGUCAACUGAGAUAAGUAGCUUAGUACCCCAGACCAUGCGAGUUGAGUCAGAUAUGCAAUCUAACACUAGAAGUGAGACAAGACAACAAAGAGAUAUUUCUGAGAAUCAAACAAACACAGUUUGUAACUCAAUAUCACGAGAUAUAAGUAGUAGAUCUGAAGAACCAAUCAACAUAGGAGUUAGAUAUCCGACUAGAGAUAGAAAAGCACCAAAGUUUUUAGAAAAUUAUGAGUGUAAUUCAUGCUCUGGCGAAGAGAUAGAACCAUCCACCUUCAGUGAGGCAAGUAAAGAACCUAAGUGGAAGGAGGCAAUGCAAGAGGAACUGGAUGCAUUGAAAAUUAACAAAACAUGGACUUUAGUACCAAAAAAUUCGUCAAUGAAUAUAGUAGGUUGUAAGUGGGUCUAUAAAAUUAAAAAGAACUCAGAUGGUUCAAUAGAAAGGUACAAAGCUAGAUUAGUAGCUAAGGGCUACAAUCAGGAGGAAGGAGUGGACUAUACAGAGACUUACAGUCCAGUAAUUAGGAUGAACACAGUAAGAUCAAUCAUUUCAAUUGCUGUGACAUAUAACUGACAGCUAAGACAACUGGAUAUCAAAAAUGCCUUCCUAAAUGGCUUUCUAAACGAAACAGUAUACAUGAGACAACCAACUGGGUUUCAUAAUAAGAGUUAUCCAGAUCAUGUGUGUCUAUUACAUAAGGCUCUAUAUGGCUUAAAACAAGCACCCAGAGCUUGGUACUCAAGACUUCAAAAUUUUCUAGUUGAAAACGAAUUCAAAAAUAGUCUUACAGAUUCCUCAUUGUUCCUCAAAGUGAACAAUGGACAUAGAAUCUACAUACUAGUCUAUGUAGAUGAUAUUAUAAUUACUGGGGAUUCUAGUGAGGAAGUAAAUAGGUGCAUAGAAUUAAUAUGUAAACAAUUUUCAUGUAGAGACAUAGGGCUUCUUAACUAUUUUUUAGGAAUGGAAUGUAUAAGACAAGGGAAAACCAUAAUUCUAAGUCAAGAAAAAUAUGUGUAUGAUAUAUUGAAAAAAUUCAAUAUGAUGGAAUGCACACCAUGUAGGACACCAAUGGUUCAAAAUCCAAGACUAAAUAAAAAUUCAGGGACUCCUAUAGAAAACAAUACAAUAUACAGAAACAUUGUAGGGUCCUUACAAUAUCUAACUAUGACUAGACCUGAUAUUGUCUUCUGUGUGAAUCAUCUUAGUCAGUUUCUACAAACACCAACUGAUGUACAUCUUAGUUUUGCUAAGAGGAUGCUAAGAUAUAUUAAGGGAUCUUCUAACCUAGGACUGAGAUUUACACCUUCAGUCAAACCAGUAAAUUCUUUGAUAGCCUACUGUGAUUCAGACUGGGCAAGUGAUACUGAUGAUAGGAGAUCAGUGUCUGGAUUCAGCAUCUGGUUUGCUGGAAAUUUGGUAGCCUGGGCAUCAAAGAAACAGGCAGUGGUAUCAAAAUCGAGUUGUGAGGCUGAAUACAGGGCACUAUCUGGGAUAACUUCAGAAGUUAAGUGGUUCUGUAAUUUGUUUAGGGAACUGGAGAUUAGGUUUGAGACAGCUCCACAAAUAUUAUGUGAUAAUAAAUCAGCAAUUUUUCUCACUAAAAAUCCAUCAUCAAACCUGAAAACUAGACAUAUAGAUAUCUCACACCAUUUUAUUAGAGAGCUGGUGAUGAAAGGGGCAAUAAAAGUGGAUUAUAUUGCUGCUAGUCAACAACUAGCAGAUGGUUUCACUAAAGUACUGGGAACAGGGCAAUUUAUGGUUCAUAGGGAUAGACAUAAACUAGUACCAACCAGUCCUGAUCCUAGAAUCAUAAUGAAGGACAAGAAUAGGCUAACAAAAUCGCAAGACAUAAGUAAACCAAAGCUAAUUAAGGAGGCUUAGGAGAAUGAUUAUAUAAGGGAGACUAUAAUACUGGGUAUUAGUUUAUAUAUAUAAUAAUAAUAAUAAUAAUAAUAAUGAAAAUACUGAGGUGUUGUAUUUCUGAUUUCUGUUCUUAUAGUAAUACUUGUAUUCAUAUUAGGAAAUGUUAGAUAAAUAUGAUGUUGAAAAUUGCAGGGUGAUAAUCUGAAAUAUAUUCUAAAAUUAUUUCUAGUUUGGUUUGAUACAUAAUUUUGUUUGUUUGUUAAGGAAUGGUCUAUAUUUUUCUGGUUUGGUUUGUGGGAAUGGCUACUGUGGAUGUAUGUUUGUGUGGUUGCAGGUCAUACUAAGAUAGGUCAUGCCCAAAUAGCUGGAAAUUUAAUCUGGAGCAGAAAAUGUGAAAUCUAGAGCAGCAGGAGCUUUGAGAAUGAGCAGCGAGUUUUUUUGUUUGUUCUUUCUUUCAGGGUCUUAAUUGGCAUAACAGGAGGGUUUUCCCAGUAAAAAUGAAAGAAAGAGGAGCAAAAAUAAGAAUCCCAGCUGGGUUUUUCGCCCCCCCUGUUAGUUCAAUUAAUUCAUAGCUGAGUUAGUUCACAAGGCUGCUAAGGAGGUGGACAGACAAGCUGAUGAUCAUACUCAUGUUCAAAUUCACAACUCAGGAUUGCAUUCUGGAGUUGUCAAUUUGCGGGGGAAUGUAAAGAGUUAAAAUACUAUAAAGGGUAUUUUAUAAAUGUACCCAUAAUAUCAAGUAUAAGUAUAGGCUUAAUGUGUAAUGAUUGAAUAAGUUGAAUGUUAUAAUUUUGAGUGUCAAUUAAAGAGUUUUUGCUCUACUCUUUUUCUUCUUGUUUGACCUAACAACUUCCAUUCACCCCCUUUCUUCUAUCUUCUUCUUCUAUCAUUUUCUUGUUAAUGAAUCAUUGAGGAAACCUCUCCAGAUUUCUACAU
rnacentral:lncRNA from 1 species